UACGAAGGUGGCAAGCGUUGUUCGGAUUUACUGGGCGUAAAGGGCGCGUAGGCGGCCAGCACAAGUCAGUUGUGAAAUCUCCGAGCUUAACUCGGAAAGGUCAACUGAUACUGUGCGGCUAGAGUGCGGAAGGGGCAACUGGAAUUCUUGGUGUAGCGGUGAAAUGCGUAGAUAUCAAGAGGAACACCUGCGGCGAAGGCGGGUUGCUGGGCCGACACUGACGCUGAUGCGCGAAAGCCAGGGGAGCGAACGGG
rnacentral:rRNA from 1 species